rnacentral:tRNA from 1 species
GCCCAAGUGGCGAAACUGGUAGACGCAGCAGACUCAAAAUCUGCCAUUGGCAACAAUGUGCCGGUUCGAUUCCGGCCUUGGGCACAA